UUUCAUUGCCAUCAAAAGAAAUUAUCUAUGAUAAUUAAGUGAUAUUUAUUUUUAUUUGUAUAACAGGAUGAUUUGUUACUGAAUUUGGAAAUUAGUUUUCCACUGCCAAUUUAUUCUUUGAUCACAGAUCAGAUUGAAUUGAAUCCAUAUACCUCAAAAUGACUCUUAUCAUUUUGAUAUGUAUUGUUAACAAAAAUUUAAAAGCAUAUUCAUAUGUCUGUAAAAAAUCAAGAAUGGUGUUUUGUGAGAUAUUGCUACAGGGUAAAGUUGUUACGUUUGAAAAACUUGUGUCAUAGUCCAUUUAUAGUCUGUAAAGAAAUAUGGCCAUGCAGAUGUAAAAAGAGUAUGUCAAUAGCUUUAUUCUUUAUCAUUGGUAUCAGUAUACAUGAUUUGCUGUCGUUCUUGUACAGUCUUUUUCAUGAAUGUUUAAAGCAGUUGAGGCCUUGUUAUUGCUCAUUGGUGAUAAAAAUAAAAUGUGUAGAAGUGGAU
rnacentral:lncRNA from 1 species